rnacentral:pre_miRNA from 1 species
AGUGGAAUUGCUGGGUCAUAUGGUAAUUCUAUGUUUAACUUUUUGGGAAACUGAAAACUGUUUUUCAAAGUGGCUGCACCAAUUUAUAUUCCCACCAGCAAU